rnacentral:rRNA from 1 species
UACGUAGGGGGCAAGCGUUGUCCGGAAUCAUUGGGCGUAAAGCGCGUGUAGGCGGUCCGGUAAGUCCGCUGUGAAAGUCGGGGGCUCAACCCUCGGAUGCCGGUGGAUACUGUCGGGCUUGAGUACGGAAGAGGCGAGUGGAAUUCCUGGUGUAGCGGUGAAAUGCGCAGAUAUCAGGAGGAACACCAACGGCGAAGGCAGCUCGCUGGGACGGUACUGACGCUGAGACGCGAAAGCGUGGGGAGCAAACAGG